GCUUCUGAACGACGUAGCUCAGAUUCAACAGUGAAAUAACUUUAGUGACUUGUUUUAAGACUGCAGGUGUGUGAGGUCCUGUUCACGGAAACCUGCCGGAUGACAGAGAGAAAUCCCCGAAUCGGCCAGGUUUUUUUACCUUAGUUAAAAUUGAUGGCGAGCCAACCCAGAUGAGACCAGAAGAUCCCUGGGUUGAAGACCCCUGAAGUGAGAAACUCUGAGCCAAGGACUACUGAUCUUACCCCUCACCUGCUACAGCGGUAGGACAACCAGCACCACUUUUACACUCAACUUCCAGCACCACUUGCACAACCCCACACUUAGGACUCUAUUUUUUAUUUUAUUUUGCACUUGGACAAUUACCUUCCUCCUCCUGUUUGGAAACGCAUCCCUGGUUUCUGCAGAAAUUUCAUUCUUCAGAAAAAAAGGAAGAAGGUGAAAGGAGGAUUUCCUAAAUCUCAAAACAUUCCUUGGCCUGGAAUCCCAACAACUUGUUCCUCUUCAACCUGGUCAUUGCUGACUUCCUGGCUCUGGUGAGUCUGCCACUGAGGAUCGAUGCCUUGCUCAGGGGCCACUGGGUGUUUGGAGAUGGCAUGUGCCGGAUCCUCGUAAUGUUUUCCAACUGCUCGGCCAGCAUCGCACUCAUGACUGUGGUGGCAAUUUACCACUACUUCAAGGUAGUUUACUACCAGUUCAACCUGAUCCUGACGGUGCUUAAGUUCAUCAUCCCAAUGGCCAUGCUGCUGUUUUGCCCCA